rnacentral:rRNA from 1 species
GAUGAACGCUAGCGGCAGGCCUAAUACAUGCAAGUCGAACGAAUCUGAUCCUUUCGGGGAUUAGGUUAGUGGCGCACGGGUGCGUAACGCGUAUGCAACCUACCUUCCACAGGGGGAUAGCCUUCCGAAAGGAAGAUUAAUACCGCAUAACACCUUUUCCCGGCAUCGGGAGAUGGUCAAAGAUUUAUCGGUGGAAGAUGGGCAUGCGUGCCAUUAGCUAGUUGGUAGUGUAACGGACUACCAAGGCUUCGAUGGCUAGGGGUUCUGAGAGGAUGGUCCCCCACACUGGUACUGAGACACGGACCAGACUCCUACGGGAGGCAGCAGUAGGGAAUAUUGGGCAAUGGCCGAGAGGCUGACCCAGCCAUGCCGCGUGCAGGAAGAAGGCCUUCUGGGUUGUAAACUGCUUUUAUCUGGGAAGAAAACGCCCCUGCGGGGGUAACUGACGGUACCAGAUGAAUAAGCACCGGCUAACUCCGUGCCAGCCGCCGCCGUAAUAC